rnacentral:misc_RNA from 1 species
UUUCCGUAGGUGAACCUGCGGAAGGAUCAUUCAUAAUAAGUGUUUUAUGGCACUUUUUUAACUCCAUAUCCUCCUUGUGUGCAAUGUCAGGGUUGAUUUUUCUCUCGAGAGGAUCAACCCCAAACAUCAACUAUAUCUCAACUCUUUGUCUGAAAAAUAUUAUGAAUAAAACAAUUCAAAAUACAACUUUCAACAACGGAUCUCUUGGCUCUC